CUGGUGAGUAACGCGUGAGGAACCUGCCUUCCAGAGGGGGGACAACAGUUGGAAACGACUGCUAAUACCGCAUGAAACAUUUGAACCGCAUGGUUUGAAUGUCAAAGAUUUAUCGCUGGAAGAUGGCCUCGCGUCUGAUUAGCUAGUAGGCGGGGUAACGGCCCACCUAGGCGACGAUCAGUAGCCGGACUGAGAGGUUGACCGGCCACAUUGGGACUGAGAUACGGCCCAGACUCCUACGGAAGGCAGCAG
rnacentral:rRNA from 1 species